rnacentral:rRNA from 1 species
UACGUAGGGGGCUAGCGUUGUCCGGAUUUACUGGGCGUAAAGAGCGCGCAGGCGGUCGUUCAAGUCGAGUGUGAAAGCCCCCGGCUCAACUGGGGAGGGUCACUCGAUACUGGUCGACUCGAAGGCAGGAGAGGGAAGCGGAAUUCCCGGUGUAGUGGUGAAAUGCGUAGAUAUCGGGAGGAACACCAGUGGCGAAGGCGGCUUUCUGGCCUGUUCUUGACGCUGAGGCGCGAAAGCUAGGGUAGCAACCGGG